CCUAGAGAUGCAGAGGAUGCAGUUCGAGGAUUGGAUGGGAAAGUGAUUUGUGGUUCUCGAGUGAGGGUUGAAUUAUCAACAGGCAUGCCUCGGAGAUCUCGGUUUGAUAGGCCACCUGCCCGUCGUCCCUUUGAUCCUAAUGAUAGAUGCUAUGAGUGUGGUGAAAAGGGACAUUAUGCUUAUGACUGUCAUCGCUAUAGCCGACGAAGAAGAAGCAGGUCACGAUCUAGAUCACAUUCCCGAUCCAGGGGAAGGCGAUACUCUCGCUCACGUAGUAGGAGCCGCGGUAGGAGGUCAAGAUCAGCAUCUCCUCGACGAUCAAGGUCCGUGUCUCUUCGUAGAUCAAGAUCAGCUUCACUCAGAAGAUCUAGGUCUGGUUCUAUAAUAGGAUCGAGAUCCCGCUCAAGGUCGAGAUCAAGAUCCAGGUCUAUUUCACGACCAAGAAGCAGCCGAUCAAAAUCCAGAUCUCCAUCUCCUAAAAGAAGUCGUUCCCCAUCAGGAAGUCCACACAGAAGUGCAAGUCCAGAAAGAAUGGACUGAAGUUCUCAAGUUCACCCGUUAGGGAAAAGUUAUUUUGUUUACAUUAUUAUAAGGGAUUUGUUAUGUCUGUAAAGUGUAACCUAGGAAGGUUCAUCAACCAUCUAAUCAAAAUGGAUCUGGAUUAUUACUCUGUAAAAUUCACAGCAGUAAAUAUUGUUUUUGUUGAAUGUAUUAACAUCUUAUGGUCUGGAAAUGUAGGUUUUUAUUUGACACAUUUAAAUAAAAUGUUUCUAACUAGAUGUUUUGAUUUGUGUUCAAUAUUAAUACUUUUUCAAUUGGGUAAGCAUCAGACAAGUUUAACAAUCAAGAAAAUUGUUAUUGACCAUAUUUCUAUGGCCUGUAUUCAAAGUUUAAUGGUGUUGGUUAAGUAUUAAACAUCAUUAACUGUUCUAUACAUAGCACAGGCCAGGAUCUGAAAGGACUUUGACAUUUUCAUUUUACUCUUGUACCUUGGGUAAGAUGAUCUUUGAGUCCUCUUAAGAGCAUGAGUGCAUCAUGGCAGAUCCCUAAUUAACUGGGAAUUGGUGUUAACAAUCUCAAACUGUCAAGCUCAGAGGGACCACUGACAGGAAAUAAGCAGAGUUACUGAAAUGUCAAGAAGUAGAAACUGGUUUUUAGAGGCUGAGGUUUUAGUAGUAUAGUUUUUCAGACUAUUUAAGUUGGGAUGAUUCUGGUCAAUGUACUUUUUUUUCCCUUUCAAACAGCCAAUUUAAUACCAAAAAAUGCAUGUUUGAGGAAUUGUCUGAAUUUGGAACAAAACCUUGUAAACCAGCUUUGCAAAAUUAUUCAGCCCCAAUAUUCUGUUCUUUUGAAUGGAUUGCCUUAUCCUGUGCAAAAACCUGUUACUAUCUGAGCUAGAUUUUGCAGUUACUGACGACAUUGUUCUAUUUUGCCAAGCUGGUAUAAAGAAAUGUCAAGCAAAAAUGUAAAAGACAAAGCAGUUUUGUAAACCUUACAUAUUAGCAUUUCAUGUAGCUAAGGUUUGUUACGUUUUUGUUUUGGGUUUUUCCUCCUUUGGUAGUGUCUGGUAGACCUUAGAAUGGUGUAGACAGUAGGUUCUUAUUCAGACUUUAAAUAUAUUAUGCAUAAUAGGGCAGUAAUGAUCAUUUUCGAGUUUUUUGGACAAGCUUUUUACUAUAUUUCUUAGCCUUGGUGUAAAAAUAAUAGUACAGGAGUCUGUCCUUGUCUAUAUUUUAGGCUUUUUCAAUGAAGUUGUCUAAUAGUACUGCAACUUGAAUGCAUACUGGUCUGCCCCAAGUUUAUCUGGCUGAGUGGUCACUAGUGUGGUGAAAGUCAUUUGGAUUCUGUUCUUAAGAGUUUGACUGGUUGAAUAAGUGGUUGGUAUGAAGCUGUGUGUAAUCGGCAGACCUAUCUGUUGCACUUGGUUAGCUUUAAUUGUUCUGUAAGUUUGUUCAACAAUAAAUCUGCAGAGAUUGAACAAAUAACCC
rnacentral:lncRNA from 1 species